ensembl:lncRNA
UGAUGUAUGUGUGAUUGGUGGGAGUAUUGUAGUGAAUGUGAAGUAUAUGUGUGGUGUGCGUGUAGUGUAUGUUUCUAGUGUAUGUGUGUGGUGUGUGUUUUGGGUGUUUGUAGCAUAGUUUAUGUUUGUGGCUUAAGUGUGUGCCGUGUACGUUUGGUGAUUAUGUGUGUAGUGUAUGUGUGUGGUGUGUGUGUUUGUAGUAUAUAUGUGUGGUGUUGUGUGCGGUGUGAAUAGUGUAGUGUAUAUGUAUGUAUGCGGUGUGUGAGUUCGGUGUUUAUGUUUGUAGUGUGUGUGUUCGGUGUCUUUGUUUGGUGUGUGUGUAUAGUGUAUGUGUAUAGGGUAUGUGUGUGCUCUGUGUUUUUGGUGUGUUUAGUGUAAUGUAUGUGUGUGGUAUGUGUAUGCGAAGUGUGCAGUGUAGUAUAUUAGUGUGGUGUGUGUGCGGUGUGUUUGUGUGUAGUGUAUGUGUGUGUUGUGUGUGUUUGUUGUAUUUGUGUUUAUACUAUGUGUGUGUGUUGUGUUGCUGUAGUGUAUGUUUGUAGUACAUGUGUGUUGUACGUGUGUUUGGUGGGAGUAUUGUAGUGAAUGUUUGUGGAGAAUGUGUCUGGUGUCCGUGUAGUUUAUGUUUCUAGUGUAUGUGUGUGGAGUGUGUUUUUGGUGUGUGUAGGGUAGUUUAUGUUUGUGGCGUGUGUUGCAGUGUGUUCGUUUGGUGAUUGUGUAGUGUAUUUGUGUAGUGCAUGUGUAUGGUGUGUGUGUUUGGUGUAUGUAGUUCAGUUUAUAUCUGUGAUUGUGUGUGGUGUGUGUAGUGUAGUGUAUGUAUGCAGCGUGUGGGUGCGGUGUUUGUGUUUUUAUUGUGUGUGUUUGGUGUAUGUGUUUGUAGUGUUAGUGUGCGGCGUAUAUGUUUGUAGUGUAUGUGUGUGGUGUGUUUGUUUGGUGUGUGUGUAUAGGGUAUGUGGAUAGGGUAUGUGUGUGCUGUGUGUUUUUAGUGUGUUUAGUGUAAUGUAUGUGUGGUGUGUGUAUGCGGUGUGUGUAGUGUAGUGUAUAUAUGCGGGGUGUGUGUGCGGUGUUUGUGAUUGUAGUGUACUUGUGCAGUGUGUGUGUUUGUAGUGUAUGUGCUUGGGGUGUGUCAUUGAUGUGUGUAGUUUAGUGUAUGUUUGAGGUAUGUGUGCGGUGUGUUUGCUGUGUGUGCGUAGUAUAUGUGUAUAGUGUAUGUGUGUGGUGUGUUUUUGUUUUGUUUAGUGUAGUGCAUGUGUGUGGUGUGUGUAUGCGGUGUGUAGUGUAAUGUAUGUAUGCGGUGUGUGUGUGCGGUGUUUGUGAUUGUAGUGUACUUGGGCAGUGUGUGUGUUUGUAGUGUAUGUGCUUGGGGUGUGUUAUUGAUGUGUGUAGUUUACUGUAUGUUUGAGGUAUGUGUGCGGUGUGUUUGCUUGCUGUGUGUGCGUAGUAUAUGUGUAGAGUGUAUGUGUGUGGUGUAUGAUUUUGUUUUGUUUAGUGUAGUGUAUGUGUGCGGUGUGUGUAGUGUAGUGUAUGUAUGCGGUGUGUGUGUUUGGUGUUUGUCUUUGUAGCGUGUGUGCGUUGUACGUGUUUGUAGUGUAUGUGUGUGGUGUGUUUGUGUGUAGUGUAUUUGUGUGGUGUGUGUGUUAGUUAUAUUUGUGUUUAUAGUAUGUGUGUGUUUUGUGUUGCUG